rnacentral:lncRNA from 1 species
AUCCUGCCUGGGGGAGCUCAUAAAUCAGGACUGGGCAUCGCAGGUAUUUGGGGUUGUGGUGCAAUGAGGUGCGGGGUGAGGUGCUGCUGCACGUCCUGUCUUGUAGUCAGCAGAUCAGCCAACACAAAAGGCAAUGUCUGGAGGGUGUGCAGUACCUGCAGGCCAGGAGGGACCAAAGCUGCUGUCAUAAAGGGCACGCAGAGCUGCUGGGCCUGCAAGGACUCGCAGUGGGGAUGCUGCUGGCCCCAGCUUUCAUUAGACGACGUCAGAAGACCAACUGCAUGUGGGUAAUAAACCCAACUGGAUGUGCAACCUGAGCUGGGUAAAGCAAGCUGAAGGUAUUUGGGGUUGUGACAGCUGCAGCAGGGAGCUACGGGCAGACCAAGGGUGCAAAGCACUGAGGAGCAGCCCAGCAUGGGUGGGGACCCCAAGGGAACGUGCCAUGGGGACAUCGUACUGUGAGAGCAGGGACUGGAGGGGGUCCCCAUCCCUGGGGGUGUCCCAGAACUGCAGGGAUGUGGCACUGAGGAACAGGGCUUGGGGAUUGUAGAGGUCUUUGCAACCCGAAUGGUUCCAUAGUACUAAGAGGAGGCUUUACCACAUCUCGUGCUCAGUGCACGCUGAGCUGCUGGCUCCCAAUGCCUCCGUGUCCGUCCGUCUGUCUGCAGCUUCCCCCUGCUGAAUGGCGUUUUGCCAUUUGCCACCAUUGUGUCUCCUUAGGAAAAAAAGCCCAGAUGGACAAAGCUGCUUUCAAAGAGGCGCCGCCUUUCCGUGGUGCAAAGGGUUGGAGCUCUCACAUGCUGUGUUCUCUUGUGCAAUCGCUGCAGACAUCUGCGCUGGCUGCAGGCAGCGGAUCACGGGGCAGGAGCAGGAGCCACGGUGCAGAACUGGAAGGUCUGGGCUGACCGGCUGCUAAUUGGAGCCUCCUUCCUCAGCAUGAGAAAUGACAUCACAGAGGAAAUGAUGAUGGUUAUUUCUGAGAGAGGACGCGUAACCCCUAAGAGAUACCAGUUGAGAUUGCAGCUUGAGGUUAAAAAUAAACCGUUUCUUUGAAAAAGCAGACAGAUACGGAACCAUUACCUACUGCAUCGUGUCGGUGGAAAUGCUCUGAAACUUGUUCAGAAGUGGAUGUGAUGUCACCUUCUACAAACAGAAUCAUACUAAUUGCUGGAGUUUUCAUCUAGCCCAGUGCUCCCUGCAGGGCUGUGACGCUGCGGUGGGGUUUGUACAUGUGACACUGCCUUGUGCUGGAAGGAAAGAGUCAUAGGAUCAUAGAAUGGCCUGGGUUGGAAGGGCCACAGUGCUCAUCCAGUUCCAACCCCCUGCUAUGUGCAGGGUCGCCAACCAGCAGCCCAGGCUGCCCAGAGCCACAUCCAUCCUGGCCUUGAAUGCCUGCAGGGAUGGGGCAUCCACAGCCUCCUUGGGCAACCUGUUUUACAUACACCUCAUGAUGUAGACAACCAUCCCUGCAGAGAGCUCUGAGUUCUGGGGUUUGCUAUUGCUGCAGCCAUGGGGCAUGCAGCUCAUCAGCUCCAUGCAAUGUAUCUGACAAAGCACAAACCCCAUCACAGCAGGCAGCCCCUUCACUGUGCCCCGGCAGCCCAACACCUUAUCAGAAUGUUUCUAUUCACGGAGGAGUGGUUGAUAUACCCAGGUUUACCUUUCUAAGCCAGUGAGAAUGAAUAAAUAUUUCCUUUUCUUUUGCAAAACCACAAGGAAUCUUGUCAGGGUCAGCAUUUCCCGAGGGCAAAUGUUUAAGGUGAUAAGGAAUGUAUGGGGCUAUCUUUAUUGGGGGGCGAACAAAACCAGACUGAACUGGAGUGGGAGAACAUACCGAAUCCCUCUGCACUGCAUUGCUCAGCAUGGAGUCAGCCCGAGGAGAUGGCAGCAGGAGACGACCUGGCCCAGUCACGGUCAGGCUGGGGGCAGUGGCUUUUAGUGCAGACAAAACACGAUUAAUUUAAUCAACAGUAGAAUUGAUUCAAUCAGCAUUGCCAUUGUCAGGACUGAGGUGGGUGAAAAUCAAACAGUAAAGGUCAGGCCCUGUCCUUUACCUUGUCAGCUGUGAAAAACUGCAGACGUUGGGCAUGGCAGAAGGGUGAGGAAUGCCCCCACCUGGCCUCUCUGGGGGGCUCCAACCAUCUGCAGCAGGCAUUGGGCUCACCACUCCCCAGGGAUGUCUUUGGCAAUGGCACACCACCGCAGGCAGUCUCUGCCCCCCAGGCCUGGUGCUCAGCUUACUGAGAAGUCCAAAUUCAACUCUGCCCCUGCCUGCUGUCACGCUAUCAGGGCUAUCAUCCUCACGGCGCUGAUGUUUCCUGCUCCAUGAAGGCAGCAUGCUCCUCUCCUCCCAAAUACUCGGAGGUUCUGUGAUGGAGCAGUCUGCAAUACAAACUGAGGGUUGGCUAGGUGCUAGCAGAGCACUGAUUGCUCUUAACAAGGGAACUAGUAAGCUGUCCAUGGACAGAAAACAGGGCUGAGAACGACAGGCAGUAGGUGAUCCUCUAUGUCCACGUGCAGUUUGACAUCCAUGGACGCAGAGCACCAGCAGUACCACCACGUGCACCAGUUCCAGGGGCAGAACAAACCUAAGUGGGUGAAACACUUCUGCUUGGACUUGCUCUCAGGGCAAGCAAAAGCCUUGCACUCAGCUCCUGCUACAACUGCUUCCUUUGUCAUCUAAUUAGAGACAACCAAAGAACAGUUCGGCGCUGCCUGAAUGGACGAGAACGGCAGUGUCAGAAACAGAGGCUUCCUGAGUGCACUGUGCUGCUUUCCUCCUCGCAUCCCCAGGCCCAGCCCUGGGCUGUGUUGCCCAUUUCCCAGCGGUGGGAGCCCUGCAC